rnacentral:rRNA from 1 species
GGGUGAGUAACACGUAUCCAACCUGCCGUCUACUCUUGGACAGCCUUCUGAAAGGAAGAUUAAUACAAGAUGGCAUCAUGAGUCCGCAUGUUCACAUGAUUAAAGGUAUUCCGGUAGACGAUGGGGAUGCGUUCCAUUAGAUAGUAGGCGGGGUAACGGCCCACCUAGUCUUCGAUGGAUAGGGGUUCUGAGAGGAAGGUCCCCCACAUUGGAACUGAGACACGGUCCAAACUCCUACGGGAGGCAGCAGUGAGGAAUAUUGGUCAAUGGGCGAGAGCCUGAACCAGCCAAGUAGCGUGAAGGAUGACUGCCCUAUGGGUUGUAAACUUCUUUUAUAAAGGAAUAAAGUCGGGUAUGCAUACCCGUUUGCAUGUACUUUAUGAAUAAGGAUCGGCUAACUCCGUGCCAGCAGCCGCGGUAAUACGGAGGAUCCGAGCGUUAUCCGGAUUUAUUGGGUUUAAAGGGAGCGUAGAUGGAUGUUUAAGUCAGUUGUGAAAGUUUGCGGCUCAACCGUAAAAUUGCAGUUGAUACUGGAUAUCUUGAGUGCAGUUGAGGCAGGCGGAAUUCGUGGUGUAGCGGUGAAAUGCUUAGAUAUCACGAAGAACUCCGAUUGCGAAGGCAGCCUGCUAAGCUGCAACUGACAUUGAGGCUCGAAAGUGUGGGUAUCAAACAGGAUUAGAUACCCUGGUAGUCCACACGGUAAACGAUGAAUACUCGCUGUUUGCGAUAUACAGCAAGCGGCCAAG